GACCAUCUACCGCAGUGGGACUGAGACACUGUCGAAACUCCUACGGGAGGCAGAUCUGGGGAUGUUUGGAGUGUGAUCAAAGCCCUGAUCCUGCAAUGCCGUUUGUGUGAAGAAGGUCUUCACGUUGUCCAGCAAUUAAGUCCGGACUGAAUUGGCUCUGGUUACUACCUGGAGUCGAUGACGGCUCCCGAUGAUUAAAGAUCCGCUACCUACAUCCCACCUACCCCGAUCGUUCAUACGGUCCUAACGUUCAUC
rnacentral:rRNA from 1 species